AAUACGUUCCCGGGCCUUGUACACACCGCCCGUCAAGCCAUGGAAGCUGGGGGUGCCUGAAGUCGGUGACCGCAAGGAGCUGCCUAGGGUAAAACCGGUAACUAGGGCU
rnacentral:rRNA from 1 species